GACGAACGCUGGCGGCGUGCCUAAUACAUGCAAGUCGAACGCAGUGGGGACGAGUGAGUAACACGUGGGUAACCUCCCAUCAGAGGGGAUAACACUUGUACACAGGUGCUAAACCGAUACUUGUGGAUGGACCCUGGGUGCAUUAGCUAGUUGGUAGGGUAACGGCUCAACAAGGCCACGAUGCAUAGCCGACCUGUGAGGGGGACGGGCCAAUUGGGGACGGGGAAACGGCCCAGAUUCCUCCGGGAGGCAGCAGGGGGGAUCUUUCGGCAAGGGAGGAAAGUCGGCGCGAGAAACGCCGCGGGAGUGAGGAAGGUUUUCGGAUCGUAAACCUUUUUUGGUAGGGCAGCGGUAUCGAAACAGAAAGCCACGGCUAACUACGUGCCAGCAGCCGCGGUAAUAC
rnacentral:rRNA from 1 species